rnacentral:rRNA from 1 species
AUACGGAGGAUCCGAGCGUUAUCCGGAUUUAUUGGGUUUAAAGGGUGCGCAGGCGGCCAUUUAAGUCAGCGGUUAAAUCGUGGGGCUCAACCCCAUUCUGCCGUUGAUACUGGGUGGCUUGAUUGCGGUCGAGGUUGGCGGAAUUCGUUGUGUAGCGGUGAAAUGCAUAGAUAUGACGAAGAACACCGAUUGCGUAGGCAGCUGACCAGACCGCAAAUGACGCUCAUGCACGAAAGUGCGGGGAUCGUACAGGAUUAGAUACCCUGGUAGUCCGCACAGUAAACGAUGAAUACUUGUUUUCGGCGAUAUAAUGUCGGAGGCAAAGCGAAAGCGAUAAGUAUUCCACCUGGGGAGUACGCCGGCAACGGUGAAACUCAAAUGAAUUGGCGGGG